rnacentral:rRNA from 1 species
AUGGAAGACUACUUCGCGGAGGUACCUACAUACCCUCCUCGUCUCUUCCGCAGAAGGUACCGAAUGCGGCGUAGUUUGUUUGUGAAGAUUGUCAACGAUUGUGAGGCCGCCUCCUAUUACUUUAAAUGUCGUAGAUCCGCCGCCGGUAUCAUGGGGUUUAGUGCAUAUCAAAAGAUAUCGGCGGCAAUGCGGGUACUCGCUUAUGGCAUACCCGCGGAUUAUACCGACGAGUAUCUUCGCAUUUGGCAUGCAUUCUUUGGGUUGCCGGGAACACUCAAUGAUAUCAAUAUCCUCAAUAGAUCUCCUUUGUUCAAAAGAUUAAUUUCUGGGGAUGCUCCAUCUUGCAACUACAAAAUCAUGGACAAUGAGUACUCAAUGGGAUACUAUCUCACCGAUGGCAUCUAUCCCGAAUGGGCAACUCUUGUGAAGUCCAUCAAGGAGAAAAAUGGGGUGCCCUUAACAAGAAAAGAGGCUCAUUUCACCAAGGCACAAGAGGCAGCCCGCAAGGAUAUUGAGAGAGCUUUCGGUGUUUUGCAAGCAAGGUUUGCCAUAGUUCGUGGUCCAGCUCGGUUUUGGGACAAAAAAACCUUGAUGAACAUCAUGAAAUGUUGUGUUAUUCUACACAACAUGAUCCUAGAGGAUGAAAGAGAGUUAAACCUCCCUUGUUUCUAUGAUAAUGUUGGUACCCGUGUGCAACCGGAAAGAAACCCUUCUCGCAUACACGCUUUUCUUCAAGCACAUCGUGAGAUUGAGGAUGCAACCACUCAUGGUCGGCUCCGGAAUGAUCUAAUAGAGCACCACUGGCAGUUGGAUGGGCGGCGCAUUGGCCCAUGA